rnacentral:ncRNA from 1 species
AUAACAAUACAGGACUCUUUCGAGGCCCUGUAAUUGGAAUGAGUCCACUUUAAAUCCUUUCGCGAGGAUCCAUUGGAGGGCUGGUCUUGUGCCAGCAGCGGCAGUAUUGCCAGCUCCAA